GACGAACCGUGCAAACGUUGUUCGGAUUCACUGGGCUUAAAGGGCGCGUAGGCGGGUGGUCAAGUCAGGGGUGAAAUCCUCCAGCUCAACUGGAGAACAGCUUUUGAUACUGGCCAUCUUGAGGGAGGUAGGGGCAUGUGGAACUUCCGGUGGAGCGGUGAAAUGCGCAGAUAUCGGGAGGAACACCAAUGGCGAAGGCAGCUCGCUGGGACGUUACUGACGCUGAGACGCGAAAGCGUGGGGAGCAAACAGG
rnacentral:rRNA from 1 species